ACCUUGUCCCGGAUACAACGUGAGAAACCACAAUCAAAAAACAAACGACCUUAACUCUCGUCCUGCUCAUUGCAUAGUACACAAACAGGAGAAACAUUUGGAGACCCCAACUUUCUCAAACGAUCCUUAGUUGUCAAUUUUUGCCAAAUAAACAUUCAAAGUAUGGAAGCAUACCUUGACAGAGGUAUCCCAUGCCGCGUACCAGUCUGUACCAGGGCACAGUAAUUCCAGGAAAGAACUAG
rnacentral:lncRNA from 1 species